AGCAGUCUUCUACCGCCACGAGUCUUCACAGCAGCUGAAUCCACAAAUCUGAAGACCGCCACGAGAGGCCGACCACGAAUCGAUCCUAGGAAACAUUAUGAACAAAGAUACAAAAUAUCUCACAUACAACAUGCAAUCACACAGUUCCGAGGCAUAACGACAUUGCCUAGAUAGGGUCCUUUGCUUGACAAGUUACAUCAUAAACAAACAAGUAAAACAUCUAAAUUGAAAUACAAAGACCAAGCGGACAAUAUACCACAACAAUUGCACAAUGAUCCAUGAACACCUUGGUAUUCGAGACAAGAACGCAUAAAUAAAUGCUUAAUACUUAAAUGUAACGAGAUCGAAAGCGGUACUCUAAACCGGGUGGAGACAACACUGGGUAAACCAGGAUUAUUAUGGAUAUUGACUAAACAGUCUUGGUGAUAGAUCAAUAAUCACUAACUGAUAGAUGCGGAAUUAUUUUCAAUUGCAUAAGUCGUUCGAACGCUAACUCGAAGUAAAUCAUACCUUGCAACUGGCAGAGAGGAUGGCUUUGGGGUGACCACAUCGUGUAAGAAAAUAGUACCUUAGUAUGAUGCAGACGAUUCCCGUAGAUGUGUGCCUCAGUAUGUUCACUAUGCUUCCGAAUUGCCACGAAUAUUGGUGGAUCAUGAUUGUAGAAGGUACUGAUCAGGAAGUUCAUGGAAUCGUCCCGAAAACCGUGCAAGAAAUCUGGAGGGCGGAGUAGAUGGAGGGGAACAAAAUACACACC
rnacentral:lncRNA from 1 species